UACAGAGGGGGCUAGCGUUGUUCGGAAUUACUGGGCGUAAAGGGCGCGUAGGCGGCCCGCUAAGUCGAACGUGAAAUCCCCGGGCUCGACCUGGGAACUGCAUCCGAAACUGCCUUGCUAGAGUAUGGGAGAGGGAAGUGGAAUUUCCGGUGUAGCGGUGAAAUGCGUAGAUAUCGGAAGGAACAUCAGUGGCGAAGGCGACUUCCUGGACCAAUACUGACGCUCAGGUGCGAAAGCGUGGGGAGCAAACAGG
rnacentral:rRNA from 1 species